rnacentral:rRNA from 1 species
CCUACUGGAGGCAGCAGUGAGGAAUAUUGGUCAAUGGGCGGAAGCCUGAACCAGCCAAGUAGCGUGCGGGAUGAAGGCCCUACGGGUCGUAAACCGCUUUUGCCCGGGGAUAACACCCUCCACUUGUGGAGGUCUGCAGGUACCGUGCGAAUAAGGGCCGGCUAAUUCCGUGCCAGCAGCCGCGGUAAUACGGAAGGCCCGAGCGUUAUCCGGAUUCAUUGGGCUUAAAGGGAGCGUAGGCGGGCGUUCAAGUCAGCUGUAAAAGCGCGCGGCUCAACCGCGCCCCGCAGUUGAAACUGGACGCCGUGAGUGCACAACAGGCAGGCGGAAGUCGUGGUGUAGCGGUGAAAUGCAGAGAGAUCACGAGGAACCCCGAUUGCGAAGGCAGCCGGCCGGGGUGCGACUGACGCGGAGGCUCGAAGGUGCGGGGAUCAAACAGGAUUAGAUACCCGGGGAGUC